AUCUCUCUAUCUGGGGCACAACACGCAGGAACUUGCACAGGAGACAGAACAUCACGUGAGCGACAGAUAUCACUUCCUCCAUAUCCUCCCGUUCCCAUCACACAUCACAGCUACAUUCCUCAUCCCAAGCACGGUCUGCCAGAGAUCAGCUUGGAAAUCUGGGCACAUGGCAGCACAUUGUGAGAAUCUGUAACUGGAAAUACCUUGGCUGAGUGCAGUGAUGGCAACUUGUCCGACUCUCCGUUCCCCUUGGACAUAAGGAGGUGUGUUACUCAUACCUUCAGACCUCUCCGCGAAGAGAAUAGGAGUAUCAUCGUGAAGCUGAUUUCUGAAACUGCACGCAGACACACAGCCUAAAGGACGAUGGAAACGAAUGAACAAUGAAAUAGAUGAGCCAACAGAUUUACAUCACAGCCUUCUCUCCGGGACGGCUGCCAAGUAGCACAAAUGUCACGCACUUCAUUUAAGACACUGUAAUGGAUUAUAAUGACCAUUAAGCACCUUCAUUAAAUAUGUAA